CUUGUACUCCCUCCGUCCGAAAAUACUUGUCAUUGAAAUGGAUGUAUCUAGAUGUAUUUUAGUUCUAGACACAUCCAUUUUGAUGACAAGUAAUUCCGGACUGAGGGAGUACUUG
rnacentral:pre_miRNA from 1 species